GACGAACGCUGGCGGCGUGCCUAAUACAUGCAAGUAGAACGCACAGUUUAUACCGUAGCUUGCUACACCAUAGACUGUGAGUUACGAACGGGUGAGUAACGCGUAGGUAACCUGCCUGGUAGCGGGGGAUAACUAUUGGAAACGAUAGCUAAUACCGCAUAAUAUUAAUUAUUGCAUGAUAAUUAAUUGAAAGGUGCAAUUGCACCACUACCAGAUGGACCUGCGUUGUAUUAGCUAGUAGGUGAGGUAACGGCUCACCUAGGCGACGAUACAUAGCCGACCUGAGAGGGUGAUCGGCCACACUGGGACUGAGACACGGCCCAGACUCCUACGGGAGGCAGCAGUAGGGAAUCUUCGGCAAUGGACGAAAGUCUGACCGAGCAACGCCGCGUGAGUGAAGAAGGUUUUCGGAUCGUAAAGCUCUGUUGUAAGAGAAGAACGGGUGUGAGAGUGGAAAGUUCACACUGUGACGGUAUCUUACCAGAAAGGGACGGCUAACUACGUG
rnacentral:rRNA from 1 species